rnacentral:rRNA from 1 species
AAUCUAUGAUGAUUCCCUUAGUAACGGCGAGUGAACAGGGAGAAGCCCAAAUUUGUAAUCUGGCACUUUUUACAAGUGUCCGAGUUGUAAUUUGUAGAACUGUUAUCCGUGCUGGACCAUGUACAAGUCUGUUGAAAAGCAGCAUCGUUGAAGGUGAAAAUCCUGUAGAUGAUAUGGACUACCAGUACUCUUGUGAUACGGUUUCUAAGAGUCGAGUUGUUUGGGAAUGCAGCUCAAAGUGGGUGGUAAAUUCCAUCUAAGGCUAAAUAUAAGUGAGAGACCGAUAGCAAACAAGUACCGUGAGGGAAAGAUGAAAAGAACUUUGAAAAUAGAGUUAACAGUACGUGAAAUUGCUGAAAGGUAAACGUUUGAAGUUAGUUUUGUAUUCGUUGGAUCAGCUUCGCAAGGAGUGUAUUCUGAUGAUAAGCAAGUCAACAUCAGUCUAUGAGUGUUGGAGAAGGGUUUUGAGAAUGUAGCAAUUUAAUUGUGUUAUAGCUUGAGACUUGGAUACAAUGCUUUGGAUUGAGGAACGCGUAGUAAGC